UGGUUAUCUAAAAAGGGCGUAAUGAGGGUGGAACCAGAACCCUGGGCGCUGUAUCCAACUCUCUCAUAAGAACCAACAGCAUCAUAGGUGAACACACAACCCUUUCCUUCGUUAUCAAGCCCGCCCAAAACAUUAAAAGCAUAAUAAGGAAAGAACCGUUUGAAGUACAAUGUAUUUGAGAGCAGUUGAGCCAUCGCCGGGCAGCUCAUUUGCUUGUUAUGCUGAUGUUGGUAGGUCAAAUGCCUAGCCGCCAAAACCUUUUGUAAGGCUUUCACAUCAGCUUGAAAACCAG
rnacentral:misc_RNA from 1 species